GAUGAACGCUGGCGGCGUGCCUAAUACAUGCAAGUCGAGCGAACAGACGAGGAGCUUGCUCCUCUGACGUUAGCGGCGGACGGGUGAGUAACACGUGGAUAACCGACCUAUAAGACUGGGAUAACUUCGGGAAACCGGAGCUAAUACCGGAUAAUAUAUUGAACCGCAUGGUUCAAUAGUGAAAGACGGUUUUGCUGUCACUUAUAGAUGGAUCCGCGCCGCAUUAGCUAGUUGGUAAGGUAACGGCUUACCAAGGCAACGAUGCGUAGCCGACCUGAGAGGGUGAUCGGCCACACUGGAACUGAGACACGGUCCAGACUCCUACGGGAGGCAGCAGUAGGGAAUCUUCCGCAAUGGGCGAAAGCCUGACGGAGCAACGCCGCGUGAGUGAUGAAGGUCUUCGGAUCGUAAAACUCUGUUAUUAGGGAAGAACAAAUGUGUAAGUAACUAUGCACGUCUUGACGGUACCUAAUCAGAAAGCAACGGCUAACUACGUG
rnacentral:rRNA from 1 species